GUGAUAAUGCUUCUUUUCAGAUAAUUGUUUAUUUGCUCAGACAGUAAGGCGGCACCCAAACUGUAUUUUUUCCAUUUUAAGAUUAGGAAGUUUUUGUUUGCUCACCAAGUCGCCUCAGGCUUUCCUUCUUUUUCUGUGGGCGGCGCACACACUGCCAGCGUUCCCCUGUUCUCAUCGCCUUUCCGGUCGAGUGCUUACAAAUUCGGAUGGGAACACUACAUUAUUUUAGGGAUAUUUCGAGGAUGCCGAGACUUAACUAACUGGACGGCAACAAAGAUUGAACGGCGGACUCCACUGACCUUUGACGUCGCCCAGCAGCUCGGUGGCGUUGAGGCGGUCCACGCGCUCCUUCCAGUCCUUGGAGAGAAGACUCUCCAUGCACAGCGGCUCUGAAAAGACAGAACACGCCGGCGCGCGUAUCUUCACCUCCUGGCACAGGAAACUUCUUUGGCCCACCCGAAUGCGGAACCUGAAACUGGAACUUGGAAUGAACCUAUUUUGAAACACUCCGGUGAACUUUCGGGAGCAGAGAUGCCACUCCGGAGAAUGCGAGCUUCUCAGAGCAAGAGGUGGCGCCGUCCGUGGACCUCAUGUUGGAGGAGGAGGACGGCAUCUUGGAUGGCAAGCCCGUCCGCGUCAUCCGGCCUCCGCCUCGAAGCAAAUAAUUGACAGCGCUGUCUGCUGUGCUGACACAAAAUAUGCACCCUACCAUCUCCACGGAGUUGCCUGGGAUGUGUUCAGUGUAGCACAGGAGUGACCGGAUUUCGGUCUGCACUAUUGGACAAACUGCGUAUUUUUUCAUUGUUCAAUGCAGCACAAUCUCUACCCACCGCUUUG